GUAGGUGACAAGCGUUGUCCGGAAUUAUUGGGCGUAAAGCGCGCGCAGGCGGUUCUUUAAGUCUGAUGUGAAAGCCCACGGCUCAACCGUGGAGGGUCAUUGGAAACUGGAGAACUUGAGUACAGAAGAGGAAAGCGGAAUUCCACGUGUAGCGGUGAAAUGCGUAGAGAUGUGGAGGAACACCAGUGGCGAAGGCGGCUUUCUGGUCUGUAACUGACGCUGAGGCGCGAAAGCGUGGGGAGCAAACAGGAUUAGAUACCCUGGUAGUCCACGCCGUAAACGAUGAGUGCUAAGUGUUAGGGGGUUUCCGCCCCCCUUAGUGCUGCAGCUAACGCAUUAAGCACUCCGCCUGGGAUACGGCCGCAAGGCUG
rnacentral:rRNA from 1 species